rnacentral:lncRNA from 1 species
CGGUCACGAGAUAAGCUAUCAACAAGAACUAGAAAAGGCUAACCUGAUCUCCGAAGUAACUACAAAGAUGGUUAUAAAGUGUAGAACAGGGUUAUCCGACCACUCACUCUGAUGAUUAAGUCAGUAAUUUAUGAAAGGGUAGCUUAAGUAUAAAUGAGUGUGUAAAAUAACAUGUACCUGUAAUUAUUGAAGGUCUCCUCAUCCUAUUAGGAGAGGAACU